UACGAAGGGGGCAAGCGUUAUUCGGAAUUAUUGGGCGUAAAGGGCGCGUAGGCGGCCUGGCAAGUGGAAGGUGAAAUCCCUCGGCUUAACCGAGGAACUGCCUUCCAAACUGCUUGGCUUGAGUCCGGGAGAGGUGAGUGGAAUUCCCAGUGUAGCGGUGAAAUGCGUAGAUAUUGGGAGGAACACCAGUGGCGAAGGCGGCUCACUGGACCGGAACUGACGCUGAUGCGCGAAAGCGUGGGGAGCAAACGGG
rnacentral:rRNA from 1 species